rnacentral:rRNA from 1 species
CGCUGGCGGCGUGCUUACACAUGCAAGUCGAACGGGAUCCGGCCAAGCUUGCUUGGCUGGUGAGAGUGGCGAACGGGUGAGUAAUGCGUGACCAACCUGCCUCAAGCACCGGGAUAGCUCCUGGAAACGGGUGGUAAUACCGGAUGUUCCACAUGAUCGCAUGUGAUUGUGGGAAAGGCUUUUUGCGGCAUGGGAUGGGGUCGCGUCCUAUCAGCUUGUUGGUGGGGUGAUGGCCUACCAAGGCUUUGACGGGUAGCCGGCCUGAGAGGGCGACCGGCCACAUUGGGACUGAGAUACGGCCCAGACUCCUACGGGAGGCAGCAGUGGGGAAUAUUGCACAAUGGGCGCAAGCCUGAUGCAGCGACGCCGCGUGCGGGAUGGAGGCCUUCGGGUCGUAAACCGCUUUUGUUCACGAGCAAGGCAUCCUUUCGGGGGUGUUGAGUGUAGUGUUCGAAUAAGCACCGGCUAACUACGUGCCAGCAGCCGCGG